rnacentral:rRNA from 1 species
UACAGAGGUCCCAAGCGUUGUUCGGAUUCAUUGGGCGUAAAGGGUGCGUAGGCGGCGGGGUAAGUCAGGUGUGAAAUCCCGGAGCUCAACUCCGGAACUGCACUUGAUACUGCCUUGCUCGAGUACUGGAGAGGAGACUGGAAUUUACGGUGUAGCAGUGAAAUGCGUAGAUAUCGUAAGGAAGACCAGUGGCGAAGGCGGGUCUCUGGACAGUUACUGACGCUGAGGCACGAAGGCCAGGGGAGCAAACGGG